rnacentral:piRNA from 1 species
UCCUCUAAGCAAUGGAGAAGUCACAAGGAA